AAUAACUGCAACCAUGGUUUUUCGCGCUCAACUUUGAUCAUUCGUCUUAUUUAAAAAAUUUUAAAAAAAAAUUAAAAAAAUUAGUCACGAGUAAAAUACUAUUCAGGUUUUAUUAUCUUAUAACAACAAAAAUGCUAAUUAUAAAAAAAUUUUAAAUAAGACGGACGAUUAAAGUUGGGCACGGAAACUUAUGGCUGUACUUAAU
rnacentral:pre_miRNA from 1 species